GAUGAACGCUGGCGGCGUGCCUAAUACAUGCAAGUCGAGCGAACGGACGAGAAGCUUGCUUUUCUGAUGUUAGCGGCGGACGGGUGAGUAACACGUGGAUAACCUACCUAUAAGACUGGGAUAACUUCGGGAAACCGGAGCUAAUACCGGAUAAUAUUUUGAACCGCAUGGUUCAAAAGUGAAAGACGGUCUUGCUGUCACUUAUAGAUGGGUCCGCGCUGCAUUAGCUAGUUGGUAAGGUAACGGCUUACCAAGGCAACGAUGCAUAGCCGACCUGAGAGGGUGAUCGGCCACACUGGAACCGAGACACGGUCCAGACUCCUACGGGAGGCAGCAGUAGGGAAUCUUCCGCAAUGGGCGAAAGCCUGACGGAGCAACGCCGCGUGAGUGAUGAAGGUCUUCGGAUCGUAAAACUCUGUUAUUAGGGAAGAACAUAUGUGUAAGUAACUGUGCACAUCUUGACGGUACCUAAUCAGAAAGCCACGGCUAACUACGUG
rnacentral:rRNA from 1 species